rnacentral:rRNA from 1 species
CUGACGGAGCACGCCGCGUGAGUGAUGAAGGUCUUCGGAUCGUAAAACUCUGUUAUUAGGGAAGAACAAAUGUGUAAGUAACUAUGCACGUCUUGACGGUACCUAAUCAGAAAGCCACGGCUAACUACGUGCCAGCAGCCGCGGUAAUACGUAGGUGGCAAGCGUUAUCCGGAAUUAUUGGGCGUAAAGCGCGCGUAGGCGGUUUUUUAAGUCUGAUGUGAAAGCCCACGGCUCAACCGUGGAGGGUCAUUGGAAACUGGAAAACUUGAGUGCAGAAGAGGAAAGUGGAAUUCCAUGUGUAGCGGUGAAAUGCGCAGAGAUAUGGAGGAACACCAGUGGCGAAGGCGACUUUCUGGUCUGUAACUGACGCUGAUGUGCGAAAGCGUGGGGAUCAAACA